ACGUGUGUGGCUCAAUGGCUAGAGCAGCGGUCUCCAAAACCGCAGGUUGGGGGUUCGAGUCCCUCCACACGUG
rnacentral:tRNA from 1 species